UACGUAGGGUGCGAGCGUUGUCCGGAAUUAUUGGGCGUAAAGAGCUUGUAGGCGGUUUGUCGCGUCUGCUGUGUAAAAUCCGGGGCUCAACCCCGGACUUGCAGUGGGUACGGGCAGACUAGAGUGUGGUAGGGGAGACUGGAAUUCCUGGUGUAGCGGUGGAAUGCGCAGAUAUCAGGAGGAACACCGAUGGCGAAGGCAGGUCUCUGGGCCACUACUGACGCUGAGAAGCGAAAGCAUGGGGAGCGAACAGG
rnacentral:rRNA from 1 species